GGGGGACAUGUUCAAUAUCUGCGAGGGAUCCAACUCUCCUUUCAAAAGACGACGUGCUAAGAGUGAGGUGUGCUUAAGAUUGAAUGUUAACUGCCUCAUCUUCUGAUUGUACUUCUGAAAAUCAGAUGAGAGGGCCUCAUGUGCAACUUUCUCGAGAGAGACUACAGCAGUGACAGCACUGUCAGGCCAUCGGAACACAUCACCAUCAGCGCCGUUGUCUAGAGACUCAUUCACGGGUUUACCAGUAAGAUCAGCAGCAUCUGAGCCCCCUUUUGCUU
rnacentral:misc_RNA from 1 species